rnacentral:lncRNA from 1 species
GAAAAUGUAAAACAAAGUGUCUAACUGAAACUUGGAGAAGUAUGCUUGCUGCAGCCAAUUCAAACGCGUUAGUAGAUUUAAAGAAGGGCAAUCGAAUGAAGAUAAACAAGAAUAUAAAGGUCACUCACAUUUAGAGGAGGUGGUUGCUUGGCAUACGGCAAUCGAAUGAAGAUACACAAGAAUAUAAAGGUCACUCACAUUUAGAGGAGGUGGUUGCUUGGCAUAAUAACAUUGCGGUACAGUAAAUUCUGGAUCACCCUUGGCUGGCUCAUCAGACCAUGGGGAACCAAAUGCCUUGUGUAAAUUUUCGGUAGAGUUCAAAUUCAAUCCAAGAGUUGUUAGAUCAAUUCCAAG